rnacentral:lncRNA from 1 species
AAGAUUCAAAAUCAAUAAAUACACAUAGAAAUUUAAAAAAAAAAUUCUAUUGAAUACGUGCCAUGAACCUAGCCAAAAAUUUGUUGGACAACAUUAUAAUAAUUUCAAUCAAAUAAUCACAAAACAAAAACAAAUUAAAUCAGAACAUGAAAAAAAAAUUCACAACAAUUGACAUAUAAAAACAAUUAAAAUAGUACAUGAAAUUCAUUUCUUAUUGUAUUACUUAAUACUUCUUUCU